CCUACGGGAGGCAGCAGUGGGGAAUAUUGGGCAAUGGGCGAAAGCCUGACCCAGCAACGCCGCGUGAAGGAAGAAGGCUUUCGGGUUGUAAACUUCUUUUGACAGGGAAGAGCAGAAGACGGUACCUGUCGAAUAAGCCACGGCUAACUACGUGCCAGCAGCCGCGGUAAUACGUAGGUGGCAAGCGUUGUCCGGAUUUACUGGGCGUAAAGGGUGCGUAGGUGGUUUGACAAGUUGGUAGCGUAACUCCGAGGCUCAACCUCGGCACUACUACCAAAACUGUCGGACUUGAGUGCAGGAGGGGCAAUUGGAAUUCCUAGUGUAGCGGUGGAAUGCGCAGAUAUUAGGAGGAACACCGGUGGCGAAGGCGAAUUGCUGGACUGUAACUGACACUGAGGCACGAAAGCGUGGGGAGCAAACAGGAUUAGAUACCCGAGUAGUC
rnacentral:rRNA from 1 species